GACGAACGCUGGCGGCGUGCUUAACACAUGCAAGUCGAGCGGAAAGGCCCUUCGGGGUACUCGAGCGGCGAACGGGUGAGUAACACGUGAGUAACCUGCCCCAGACUUUGGGAUAACCCUCGGAAACGGGGGCUAAUACCGGAUACGACACAGCUUCGCAUGGGGUCUGUGUGGAAAGUUUUUCGGUUUGGGAUGGGCUCGCGGCCUAUCAGCUUGUUGGUGGGGUGAUGGCCUACCAAGGCGACGACGGGUAGCCGGCCUGAGAGGGCGACCGGCCACACUGGGACUGAGACACGGCCCAGACUCCUACGGGAGGCAGCAGUGGGGAAUAUUGCACAAUGGGCGGAAGUCUGAUGCAGCGACGCCGCGUGAGGGAUGACGGCCUUCGGGUUGUAAACCUCUUUCAGCAGGGACGAAGCGUAAGUGCCGGUACCUGCAGAAGAAGCGCCGGCCAACUACGUG
rnacentral:rRNA from 1 species